GGCGAGGUAGCUCAGGUGGUUAGAGCGCAGGAUUCAUAACCCUGAGGUCGGGAGUUCAAUUCUCCCCCUCGCUA
rnacentral:tRNA from 1 species